GUCAGAUUGUUCACGUGACAGACGCCUCGCACCAGCUGAUUACGCCCGCCUUGAUUGCUCCGCGCAUAAAACGUCUCUUCCACAGCGAGUUACCGCGUUUCAGUUUAUUUAGAUGAAGUUGGUCCCGCACCAGGUUACAAGUUGGAAGGUUUCAACAAGUUUUCUUGCAAGACUUGAGUUAAGUAUUAUAUCAAUACAUUGGUAUUAUAUUAUGACAUAUUAAUACUAUAUAACAUACUACAGUAUACUAAUAUAUUUACAUUAUAUACAGUAUAUUGCUACAAGUUUUGUGCCUUGGGUUUAUUACUUUAUUAUAUUUAGUUUAGAUUAUUCUUUAUCACGUUUUGUUUGAGAAAUCGCCAAUAAGUUAUUUUCACGUCACACGCAAUAUUUCUGCUCACAAUCAUUGCGUUCUGUUACGUCACAACCGUUUCGCUCGCUACCGCUCGCGUUUAUGGUGUAUUUAGGUCAUAGCAGAAUACCCAUAGCGAUUAUUCUACGCGCACGUUUCGCGACGUUUUUUUUCAUGUGGGGCCCCAUGCGCGUUCUGCGUCGACGCAAGGCACAUCACUUGUAUAUUCUAAUUAUAUUUGCGCUAUGAGCGCGAAGCAAGAGGAUCAAAGAAUUGGUUAAGUAUAAAUUACAAUUGACAUUAUUGCGUACAUAAGCUCUUUUCUAGAAACCUCGAAGAUGUGACGUCACGAAGUGGUGAUGACGCAACAGAAGAACCCACUUCAACUUGGUGUGUGACGUUACAGAGGAACAAGCGAACCAUGACGUAAAUCAAGAAUGAAGAAAAGCCAGCGAAUAAAGCUGCCGAAGAAAAGCGCAAGUCGAAGACCAAAGACGAAGACGCCGAUAAAGGAUACACGGUUUGAGGUUUGAGUAUUAUAAGUAUGAGUUGCGUGUUGUAUGUAUGUCUGUCUGCGCUGUUGUACCUUUAUUCUGCUGGACCUAAUGUUGCCAGCUAUUUUUAGUCAGUCACUACUAUAGUGCAUUUUACAUGUCUAUGAAAUAUAUGCAAUGAAACUAUGGCGAACAUCUUGCUGGAUCGGAUUUUGUUGUUGUACACUCUAUUGGGUACUUCUUCUGCAAAGAUCGAAUCUUUUAACGAUUUUGUAUUGUCCUAAUCGCUUGGUGAGAACGCUAUGUUGGUACACAAAUACUCGAGUAAUAUCAACACGCAGUAUAAUAUGCGCAUAAUAAAAGACCAUAAUUUCCCUGAAAAAAAAAUAGUCCAUAAUUCUGUAAAAA